CUGUGUCCUGGGUUCAGAAAGCCGAGCUUCACUUGAAUCUGUUGGGACCAAAUCAGAACUUUGAGCUGAAAGAGGCUAAAAAAGUUUGGACCAACUAAAUAGUUUUUAUUUUUCAGUCCAGUUUUAAAACAAUUAAGAAACAUCUGACUGACAUUUGGGAUGGGACAAAACAAACAAACAAACAACAACAAACAAAAAAAACAAGAGUUUGACAAAUCCAGCUGGAGGCUGUCUGGCCCAGAAUCAGUCCCAGCCUAGCUUAGCCUAGCCUAGCACAUAGGUAACACAGUUAGCGUAUCUUAGCACAGACAUGCUAGUUAACGUAUCCUGGCUUGGAAUGUACAGUCUGGCGUUAGUGCUAGCCUAGCCUAGCCUCGCACAAAGAUUGUCGUCAGGGGAAACAGAAGUCCUGCUUCAAGCUAACUGUAACUUCAUUUUAUGAAUUUUUACUAUAAAAUAAAGUCUAUGGCAGCUGGCUGUGUUGGCGCCACCCUGUGGACAGGAGUGCAGCUAAAAAAAAAAAUUCUUCUGACAGAUAUGCUUGUUGUCAUGACAACUAUGGAGGUAUAAAUAAUAACCAUUUUUUCUGUCCAGUUCCCAAUUUAAAUCCACAGAUUUUAAAAAAAAAUCUAAAGGGAUGGAAAUAUUCACCAGUAGUUCAACAAAUUAACCUGGUUUAAAACAAAACUAAUCAUUAAAGAAACUGAAACAGCUCGAGAACUGAGAAGUCUCCAAAUAGGACCAGAUGCAGAUGACCUCUGACCCCAGAAUGACAGGUCAAUGCCAGAUUUUUGCCCAGAAGUGACGUGACGCAGACAGUUGGGACAUUUAUUUUUAUGCUGUUCUGCUUUAAUUUUGCAUAUCAGUGAAAAAACACUGAACUCUAGCUAAAAACUAUGAACAGAAUUUUAUGAUGCUGCCAAAA